GUGGGGAAUCUUCCGCAAUGGGCGCAAGCCUGACGGAGCAACGCCGCGUGAGUGAAGAAGGCCUUCGGGUCGUAAAGCUCUGUCUUUAGGGAAGAAUAGCAGGUAUGUGAAUAAUGUGCCUGUGUGACGGUACCUGAGGAGGAAGCUCCGGCUAACUACGUGCCAGCAGCCGCGGUAAUACGUAGGGAGCGAGCGUUGUCCGGAAUUACUGGGCGUAAAGGGCGUGUAGGCGGGAAUUUAAGUAAGGUGUGAAAACUCCGGGCUCAACCCGGAGACUGCACUUUAAACUGGAUUUCUUGAGGGCAGGAGAGGAAAGUGGAAUUCCUAGUGUAGCGGUGAAAUGCGUAGAUAUUAGGAGGAACACCAGUGGCGAAGGCGACUUUCUGGACUGUACCUGACGCUGAGGCGCGAAAGCGUGGGGAGCGAACAGGA
rnacentral:rRNA from 1 species